rnacentral:rRNA from 1 species
UCGAACGAUGAACUCCAGCUUGCUGGGGGGAUUAGUGGCGAACGGGUGAGUAACACGUGAGUAACCUGCCCUUGACUCUGGGAUAAGCGCUGGAAACGGCGUCUAAUACCGGAUACGAGCUUCAGCCGCAUGGCUAGGAGUUGGAAAGAAUUUCGGUCAAGGAUGGACUCGCGGCCUAUCAGCUAGUUGGUGAGGUAAUGGCUCACCAAGGCGACGACGGGUAGCCGGCCUGAGAGGGUGACCGGCCACACUGGGACUGAGACACGGCCCAGACUCCUACGGGAGGCAGCAGUGGGGAAUAUUGCACAAUGGGCGAAAGCCUGAUGCAGCAACGCCGCGUGAGGGAUGACGGCCUUCGGGUUGUAAACCUCUUUUAGUAGGGAAGAAGCGAAAGUGACGGUACCUGCAGAAAAAGCACCGGCUAACUACGUGCCAGCAGCCGCGGUAAUACGUAGGGUGCAAGCGUUGUCCGGAAUUAUUGGGCGUAAAGAGCUCGUAGGCGGUUUGUCGCGUCUGCUGUGAAAUCUGGGGGCUCAACCCCCAGCCUGCAGUGGGUACGGGCAGACUAGAGUGCGGUAGGGGAGAUUGGAAUUCCUGGUGUAGCGGUGGAAUGCGCAGAUAUCAGGAGGAACACCGAUGGCGAAGGCAGAUCUCUGGGCCGUAACUGACGCUGAGGAGCGAAAGCGUGGGGAGCGAACAGGAUUAGAUACCCUGGUAGUCCACGCCGUAAACGUUGGGAACUAGAUGUGGGGACCAUUCCACGGUCUCCGUGUCGCAGCUAACGCAUUAAGUUCCCGCCU